CGGGGCGUGGCCUAGUCCGGUAAGGCGCUCGCUUUGGGAGCGAGAGAUCACUGGUUCGAAUCCAGUCGCCCCGACCA
rnacentral:tRNA from 1 species